rnacentral:rRNA from 1 species
GGUCAAGUAGUGAAGUGCAAACGGUGGAUGCCUUGGCAGCUAGAGGCGAUGAAGGACGUAGUAACUUGCGAUAAGCUUCGGGGAGUCGGUAACAGACUUUGAUCCGGAGAUUUCCGAAUGGGAAAACCCACCUAGGAUAACCUAGGUAUCUUUAUCUGAAUUCAUAGGGUAAAGAGGCAAACGCGGAGAACUGAAACAUCUUAGUAACCGCAGGAAAAGAAAUCAAUUGAGAUUCUGUGAGUAGCGGCGAGCGAAAGCGGAAUAGCCAGCAAUCUUUAUUUUUUAGAUUAGGGGAAUGACCUGGAAAGGUCUGUCAUAGAAGGUGAUAACCCUGUACCCAAAAAUCUUUAAAAAGAACUAGGUUUGCAAUAAGUAGGUCGGGACACGAGAAAUCUUGACUGAAGAUGGGGGGACCAUCCUCCAAGGCUAAAUACUCCUAGCUGACCGAUAGUGAACCAGUACCGUGAGGGAAAGGCGAAA